UCUUCAAUUAGUGUUGGUUAUGACAUAAGAUCAUAUGGCGUGAUUCAAGCAUAUAUUUAGGUCACCUGACCACAACCAUAAGCGUUGACUGGCCGAGACAUUCACAAUUGAGCGGUCAGUUUGAAGCAACGGCCAUCAGCCACAACACGGCACGGAUGUUUUCGGGAACCUUUCCAAAUUUUCUCGACAUUUUCUUAUUUUAAAAAGUGAAAGUCACACCCUGUCUCUGGUGAGGACUGCCGACAUGGACACAUUUAAUACCCAUUGAUGAUAAUCCCGAUGUAACAGUAACCAUUGCCACACUUGAAACAGUGUCUUACCUCAUUUCACGGUAACUGACGAGUCACACAGUUCGUGAAUCAAGUGGUGGAGAGAAACGCUGCGGCAUGAUUUCGGCCAUGGUUGUCUGCCUUCUGACAAAAGAAACCAAGAUGAUAUUAGUCUGAUCAGAAUUGAUGUAGAUUGGUUCGGCUUGGUCUGCCACGUCGGCCAUCGGACAGCAGGAGCAGACGGACUGUAGUUCAGUUCGCAGCAAUGAGACGGCCUAGGACACCAAGUUUCAAUAUAACAUCACAUUGUGUGUCAAUGAUCAUAUUUCUUCUCAACCUGUGAUUCUCUAGGCUAUGUUUAUUGGUC